UACGUAGGGUGCGAGCGUUAAUCGGAAUUACUGGGCGUAAAGCGUGCGCAGGCGGUUCGCCAAGUCAGGUGUGAAAUCCCCGGGCUUAACCUGGGAAUUGCGCUUGAAACUAGCGGGCUUGAGUGUGGCAGAGGGGGGUGGGAAUUCCGCGUGUAGCAGUGAAAUGCGUAGAUAUGCGGAGGAACACCGAUGGCGAAGGCAAUCCCCUGGGCCUGUACUGACGCUCAUGCACGAAAGCGUGGGGAGCAAACAGG
rnacentral:rRNA from 1 species